UACGUAGGGGGCAAGCGUUGUCCGGAUUUAUUGGGCGUAAAGAGCGUGUAGGCGGUUAGGUAGGUCCAUUGUGAAAACUCGAGGCUCAACCUCGAGACGCCGAUGGAAACCAUCUGACUAGAGUCCGGAAGAGGAGAGUGGAAUUCCUGGUGUAGCGGUGAAAUGCGCAGAUAUCAGGAAGAACACCCGUGGCUAAGGCGGCUCUCUAGUACGUGACUGACGCUGAGACGCGAAAGCGUGGGGAGCGAACAGG
rnacentral:rRNA from 1 species